UUUUGUAGAAUGAACCGGCGAGUUACGAUUUGAUGCAAGGUUAAGCAGUAAAUGUGGAGCCGUAGCGAAAGCGAGUCUGAAUAGGGCGUUUAGUAUUUGGUCGUAGACCCGAAACCAGGUGAUCUACCCUUGGUCAGGUUGAAGUUCAGGUAACACUGAAUGGAGGACCGAACCGACUUACGUUGAAAAGUGAGCGGAUGAACUGAGGGUAGCGGAGAAAUUCCAAUCGAACCUGGAGAUAGCUGGUUCUCUCCGAAAUAGCUUUAGGGCUAGCCUCAAGUGAUGAUUAUUGGAGGUAGAGCACUGUUUGGACGAGGGGCCCCUCUCGGGUUACCGAAUUCAGACAAACUCCGAAUGCCAAUUAAUUUAACUUGGGAGUCAGAACAUGGGUGAUAAGGUCCGUGUUCGAAAGGGAAACAGCCCAGACCACCAGCUAAGGUCCCAAAAUAUAUGUUAAGUGGAAAAGGAUGUGGCGUUGCCCAGACAACUAGGAUGUUGGCUUAGAAGCAGCCAUCAUUUAAAGAGUGCGUAAUAGCUCACUAGUCGAGUGACACUGCGCCGAAAAUGUACCGGGGCUAAACAUAUUACCGAAGCUGUGGAUUGUCCUUUGGACAAUGGUAGGAGAGCGUUCUAAGGGCGUUGAAGCAUGAUCGUAAGGACAUGUGGAGCGCUUAGAAGUGAGAAUGCCGGUGUGAGUAGCGAAAGACGGGUGAGAAUCCCGUCCACCGAUUGACUAAGGUUUCCAGAGGAAGGCUCGUCCGCUCUGGGUUAGUCGGGUCCUAAGCUGAGGCCGACAGGCGUAGGCGAUGGAUAACAGGUUGAUAUUCCUGUACCACCUAUAAUCGUUUUAAUCGAUGGGGGGACGCAGUAGGAUAGGCGAAGCGUGCGAUUGGAUUGCACGUCUAAGCAGUAAGGCUGAGUAUUAGGCAAAUCCGGUACUCGUUAAGGCUGAGCUGUGAUGGGGAGAAGACAUUGUGUCUUCGAGUCGUUGAUUUCACACUGCCGAGAAAAGCCUCUAGAUAGAAAAUAGGUGCCCGUACCGCAAACCGACACAGGUAGUCAAGAUGAGAAUUCUAAGGUGAGCGAGCGAACUCUCGUUAAGGAACUCGGCAAAAUGACCCCGUAACUUCGGGAGAAGGGGUGCUCUUUAGGGUUAACGCCCAGAAGAGCCGCAGUGAAUAGGCCCAAGCGACUGUUUAUCAAAAACACAGGUCUCUGCUAAACCGUAAGGUGAUGUAUAGGGGCUGACGCCUGCCCGGUGCUGGAAGGUUAAGAGGAGUGGUUAGCUUCUGCGAAGCUACGAAUCGAAGCCCCAGUAAACGGCGGCCGUAACUAUAACGGUCCUAAGGUAGCGAAAUUCCUUGUCGGGUAAGUUCCGACCCGCACGAAAGGCGUAACGAUUUGGGCACUGUCUCAACGAGAGACUCGGUGAAAUCAUAGUACCUGUGAAGAUGCAGGUUACCCGCGACAGGACGGAAAGACCCCGUGGAGCUUUACUGUAGCCUGAUAUUGAAAUUCGGCACAGCUUGUACAGGAUAGGUAGGAGCCUUUGAAACGUGAGCGCUAGCUUACGUGGAGGCGCUGGUGGGAUACUACCCUAGCUGUGUUGGCUUUCUAACCCGCACCACUUAUCGUGGUGGGAGACAGUGUCAGGCGGGCAGUUUGACUGGGGCGGUCGCCUCCUAAAAGGUAACGGAGGCGCUCAAAGGUUCCCUCAGAAUGGUUGGAAAUCAUUCAUAGAGUGUAAAGGCAUAAGGGAGCUUGACUGCGAGACCUACAAGUCGAGCAGGGUCGAAAGACGGACUUAGUGAUCCGGUGGUUCCGCAUGGAAGGGCCAUCGCUCAACGGAUAAAAGCUACCCCGGGGAUAACAGGCUUAUCUCCCCCAAGAGUUCACAUCGACGGGGAGGUUUGGCACCUCGAUGUCGGCUCAUCGCAUCCUGGGGCUGUAGUCGGUCCCAAGGGUUGGGCUGUUCGCCCAUUAAAGCGGUACGCGAGCUGGGUUCAGAACGUCGUGAGACAGUUCGGUCCCUAUCCGUCGUGGGCGUAGGAAAUUUGAGAGGAGCUGUCCUUAGUACGAGAGGACCGGGAUGGACAUACCUCUGGUGUACCAGUUGUCGUGCCAACGGCAUAGCUGGGUAGCUAUGUGUGGACGGGAUAAGUGCUGAAAGCAUCUAAGCAUGAAGCCCCCCUCAAGAUGAGAUU
rnacentral:rRNA from 1 species